CCUACGGGAGGCAGCAGUGGGGAAUCUUGCGCAAUGGGCGAAAGCCUGACGCAGCCAUGCCGCGUGAAUGAUGAAGGUCUUAGGAUUGUAAAAUUCUUUCACCGAGGACGAUAAUGACGGUACUCGGAGAAGAAGCCCCGGCUAACUUCGUGCCAGCAGCCGCGGUAAUACGAAGGGGGCUAGCGUUGCUCGGAAUUACUGGGCGUAAAGGGAGCGUAGGCGGAUAGUUUAGUCAGAGGUGAAAGCCCAGGGCUCAACCUUGGAAUUGCCUUUGAUACUGGCUAUCUUGAGUACGGAAGAGGUAUGUGGAACUCCGAGUGUAGAGGUGAAAUUCGUAGAUAUUCGGAAGAACACCAGUGGCGAAGGCGACAUACUGGUCCGUUACUGACGCUGAGGCUCGAAAGCGUGGGGAGCAAACAGGAUUAGAUACCCUGGUAGUCCACGCUGUAAACGAUGAGUGCUAGUUGUCGGCAUGCAUGCAUGUCGGUGACGCGAGCUACGACAUAAGACACUCCGCCGUCGGGAGGUACGGUACGCGAAGAAGUUAAACGUAACGAAUAGAAGUUAGACGGACGUGAGACGUAGACCGACGGACGACGACGAGGGAGGAGG
rnacentral:rRNA from 1 species